CGAGCAGAAAAUGCACUUGUUACUUCUGCCUACUAAAUCUAGUGAUCGUUGGCAUUAGCAUUUGAUGUGAAUGUUUGGUGAUUUUCUCAUUAUAUUUUACUCAUGCAAAAUGGUCAAGUACUGAUUUUCAUUUUUAUGGCUUUUCAUUAAAAAAAAAGAUUUUCUUUCACUAGGAGAAUUUUCUUUUUGUAGAAGGUAUCCAUUCCAUUUUGUUGUAUUUUACCUGAUGUUGAUUAAAUUUUUUGUUUUAUCAUUUGGAGUAUGAUGGCACUCUUGUUAUUUUCAUUUUUAUUUUUUUAGUACAACUUAG
rnacentral:misc_RNA from 1 species